rnacentral:rRNA from 1 species
UACGUAGGGUGCAAGCGUUUGUCCGGAAUUAUUGGGCGUAAAGAGCUCGUAGGCGGUCUGUCGCGUCUGCUGUGAAAACUCAGGGCUUAACCCUGAGCUUGCAGUGGGUACGGGCAGACUAGAGUGCGGUAGGGGAGACUGGAAUUCCGUGGUGUAGCGGUGAAAUGCGCAGAUAUCAGGAGGAACACCGGUGGCGAAGGCGGGUCUCUGGGCCGUAACUGAC